rnacentral:rRNA from 1 species
UAGGCUGAAACUCGCCUAUAUGAAGUCGGAAUUGCUAGUAAUCGCGGAUCAGCAUGCCGCGGUGAAUACGUUCCCGGGCCUUGUACACACCGCCCGUCACACCAUGAGAGUCGAUAACACCCGAAGCCUGUAGUCUAACCAUAUGGGGGACGCAGUCGAAGGUGGGAUUGAUAAUUAGGGUGAAGUCGUAACAAGGUAUC